rnacentral:rRNA from 1 species
UAGCUAGUUGGUGAGGUAACGGCUUACCAAGGCGACGAUCUGUAGCGGGUCUGAGAGGAUGAUCCGCCACACUGGAACUGAGACACGGUCCAGACUCCUACGGGAGGCAGCAGUGGGGAAUUUUGGACAAUGGGGGCAACCCUGAUCCAGCCAUGCCGCGUGAGUGAAGAAGGCCUUCGGGUUGUAAAGCUCUUUCGGCCGGGAAGAAAUCGCAUGGGCCAAUACCCUGUGUGGAUGACGGUACCGGAAUAAGAAGCACCGGCUAACUACGUGCCAGCAGCCGCGGUAAUACGUAGGGUGCGAGCGUUAGUCGGAAUUACUGGGCGUAAAGCGUGCGCAGGCGGUUUUGUAAGACAGGCGUGAAAUCCCCGGGCUCAACCUGGGAACUGCGUUUGUGACUGCAAGGCUAGAGUACGGCAGAGGGGGGUGGAAUUCCACGUGUAGCAGUGAAAUGCGUAGAGAUGUGGAGGAACACCAAUGGCGAAGGCAGCCCCCUGGGUCGAUACUGACGCUCAUGCACGAAAGCGUGGGUAGCAAACAGGAUUAGAUACCCUGGUAGUCCACGCCCUAAACUAUGUCAACUAGGUGUUGGGUGGGUAAAACCAUUUAGUACCGUAGCUAACGCGUGAAGUUGACCGCCUGGGGAGUACGGCCGCAAGGUUAAAACUCAAAGGAAUUGACGGGGACCCGCACAAGCGGUGGAUGAUGUGGAUUAAUUCGAUGCAACGCGAAAAACCUUACCUACCCUUGACAUGCCAGGAACUUGCCAGAGAUGGCUUGGUGCCCGAAAGGGAGCCUGGACACAGGUGCUGCAUGGCUGUCGUCAGCUCGUGUCGUGAGAUGUUGGGUUAAGUCCCGCAACGAGCGCAACCCUUGUCGUUAAUUGCCAUCAUUUAGUUGGGCACUUUAGCGAGACUGCCGGUGACAAACCGGAGGAAGGUGGGGAUGACGUCAAGUCCUCAUGGCCCUUAUGGGUAGGGCUUCACACGUCAUACAAUGGUCGGUACAGAGGGUCGCCAAGCCGCGAGGUGGAGCCAAUCCCAGAAAGCCGAUCGUAGUCCGGAUUGCAGGCUGCAACUCGCCUGCAUGAAGUCGGAAUCGCUAGUAAUCGUGGAUCAGCAUGUCACGGUGAAUACGUUCCCGGGUCUUGUACACACCGCCCGUCACACCAUGGGAGCGGGUUCCGCCAGAAGUAGGUAGCCUAACCGCAAGGAGGGCGCUUACCACGGCGGGGUUCGUGACUGGGGUGAAGUCGUAACAAGGUAGCCGUAGGGGAACCUGCGGCUG